rnacentral:tRNA from 1 species
GCUCCAGUAGUUCUAAUGGUAGAACAAAUCUUUUGUCAGAGAUGAGGCGUGGGUUCGAUUCCCACCUGGAGCU